CGAUCAAAUGCCUCGUAUGGUUUCUGUGCGCCGCUGUCGCGUGCAGGACGAAGAGGGAAUGUGGAACGGGCGAUCCAAGUCGGAGCCUGCGACCACAGCCGCCCCCGCGACUGUCCGCGGUGAGCCACUGUCACACUGCCACUGAGCAUCCGCUUGGGAAGGCGACAGCGGUGUUGAUCCGCCAGCCAGGAGACCUGCCAUGCGCAGAUAUAACCU
rnacentral:ncRNA from 2 species